GAUGAACGCUGGCGGCGUGCCUAAUACAUGCAAGUCGAGCGAACAGAUGAGGAGCUUGCUCCUCUGACGUUAGCGGCGGACGGGUGAGUAACACGUGGAUAACCUACCUAUAAUACUGGGAUAACUUCGGGAAACCGGAGCUAAUACCGGAUAAUAUAUUGAACCGCAUGGUUCAAUAGUGAAAGACGGUUUUGCUGUCACUUAUAGAUGGAUCCGCGCCGCAUUAGCUAGUUGGUAAGGUAACGGCUUACCAAGGCAACGAUGCGUAGCCGACCUGAGAGGGUGAUCGGCCACACUGGAACUGAGACACGGUCCAGACUCCUACGGGAGGCAGCAGUAGGGAAUCUUCCGCAAUGGGCGCAAGCCUGACGGAGCAACGCCGCGUGAGUGAUGAAGGUCUUCGGAUCGUAAAACUCUGUUAUUAGGGAAGAACAAAUGUGUACGUAACUAUGCACGUCUUGACGGUACCUAAUCAGAAAGCCACGGCUAACUACGUG
rnacentral:rRNA from 1 species